AUGGCCUGCACCCCCUCCUCCUCACCCUCCUCAGUCGCGGCACAGAUCAUGGCUCAUCAGGUAACCUGCACCGUCUGUCUGUGGCUAAACCAGCCACCAUCUCCUGAACUGGAAGCAGCAGCAAUAAGGUUCUUGGAAUUGUGACCUGGUGCCAACAAUGACCAGGAAGUGCCUCCAAGCUUCUGACUCAUAGAAGUAAAUAUCUGCCCGCAGGGAUUCAGGACAGACGCUCAGGCUACCAGUCUUGCAUGAAGCCCUUCCUAAGCAUCUCUGGGCUUUAGGCUGAGGACAAGGCUGAUCACUCCUGUUGGCUUCAGACAGCCCCCUGGAGGUCCA